rnacentral:rRNA from 1 species
AUUGAACGCUGGCGGCAGGCCUAACACAUGCAAGUCGAGCGGAUGAGAGGAGCUUGCUUCUCGAUUCAGCGGCGGACGGGUGAGUGAUGCCUAGGAAUCUGCCUGGUAGUGGGGGACAACGUUUCGACAGGAACGCUAAUACCGCAUACGUCCUACGGGAGAAAGCAGGGGACCUUCGGGCCUUGCGCUAUCAGAUGAGCCUAGGUCGGAUUAGCUAGUUGGUGAGGUAAUGGCUAACCAAGGCGACGAUCCGUAACUGGUCUGAGAGGAUGAUCAGUCACACUGGAACUGAGACACGGUCCAGACUCCUACGGGAGGCAGCAGUGGGGAAUAUUGGACAAUGGGCGAAAGCCUGAUCCAGCCAUGCCGCGUGUGUGAAGAAGGUCUUCGGAUUGUAAGGCACUUUAAGUUGGGAGGAAGGGUUGUAGAUUAAUACUCUGCGAUUUUGACGUUACCGACAGAAUAAGCACCGGCUAACUCUGUGCCAGCCGCCGCCGUAACAC